rnacentral:tRNA from 1 species
GCCACGGUGGUCUAGCGGUUAGAACGCUGGCCUUGUGACCCUGGGGUCUCGGGUUCGAUUCCCGGCGGUGCCC